CACAGCCCUGGCCAAUCAGCAUCUCCUCAUAGAGAUGACAAAUCAAUUAAUCUCUAUGAUGAAAGUCCAGUGUCUGCAUGCAGAGGGAGGAGAUACUGAAUCUUUGGAUGCAUUUUAGGGAGCUAUGACCCAGGAAGGAUCUCUAACAGACAUCGGAUGAGUGGCCAGUGCAGUUAUCACUAGGCUGUAAUGUAAACACUGCAUUUUCUCUGAAAAGACUGUUUACAGCAAAAAGCCUGAAGGUAAUGAUUCUACACUCCAGAACAAAUUCAAUAAGCUGUAGUUGUCCUGGUAACUAUAGUGUCCCUUUAACAUGGCCUGGACACAGGAAUAGAAG